rnacentral:rRNA from 1 species
UACAGAGGGUGCAAGCGUUAAUCGGAAUUACUGGGCGUAAAGCGCGCGUAGGUGGUUCGUUAAGUUGGAUGUGAAAGCCCCGGGCUCAACCUGGGAACUGCAUUCAAAACUGACGAGCUAGAGUAUGGUAGAGGGUGGUGGAAUUUCCGGUGUAGCGGUGAAAUGCGCAGAUAUCCGGAGGAACACCGGUGGCGAAGGCGGCUUCCUGGACCGACACUGACGCUGAGGCGCGAAAGCUAGGGGAGCAAACGGG